GACGAACGCUGGCGGCGUGCUUAACACAUGCAAGUCGAACGGAAAGGCCCUGCUUUUGUGGGGUGCUCGAGUGGCGAACGGGUGAGUAACACGUGAGUAACCUGCCCUUGACUUUGGGAUAACUUCAGGAAACUGGGGCUAAUACCGGAUAGGAGCUCCUGCUGCAUGGUGGGGGUUGGAAAGUUUCGGCGGUUGGGGAUGGACUCGCGGCUUAUCAGCUUGUUGGUGGGGUAGUGGCUUACCAAGGCUUUGACGGGUAGCCGGCCUGAGAGGGUGACCGGCCACAUUGGGACUGAGAUACGGCCCAGACUCCUACGGGAGGCAGCAGUGGGGAAUAGUGCACAAUGGGCGGAAGCCUGAUGCAGCAACGCCGCGUGCGGGAUGACGGCCUUCGGGUUGUAAACCGCUUUCGCCUGUGACGAAGCGUGAGUGACGGUAAUGGGUAAAGAAGCACCGGCUAACUGCGUG
rnacentral:rRNA from 1 species